rnacentral:pre_miRNA from 1 species
UGAUCGCGUCUAAGACAUAUAAUUUAUACUUGACUUAUAUGCAGUAGAUGUGAUCGCGU